rnacentral:rRNA from 1 species
AACGAACGCUGGCGGCGUGCCUAAUACAUGCAAGUAGGACGCAGUUGCGAACGGGGGAGUAACGCGUAGGUAACUGCCUAUUAGAGGGGGAUAACUAUUGGAAACGAUAGCUAAUACCGCAUACUAGUAGAUGGACAUGCGUUGUAUUAGCUAGUAGGUAGGGUAAUGGCAGACCUAGGCGACGAUACAUAGCCGGCCUGUGAUGGUGUUCGGGCACACUGGGAUAUAGACACGGCCCAGACUCCCCCGUGAGGCCGCACGGUGGAAUUUUUGGAAAUGGGGGGAACGCUUACCUGUCAACGCCUCGUUAAUGAAGAAGGUCUUCGGAUCGUAAAGCUCUGUUGUUAAGCAAGCGGUACUUAACCAGAAAGGGACGGCUAACUACGUGCCAGCCGCCGCGGUAAUAC